rnacentral:rRNA from 1 species
UACGUAGGUGGCAAGCGUUGUCCGGAAUUAUUGGGCGUAAAGCGCGCGCAGGCGGUUCUUUAAGUCUGAUGUGAAAGCCCACGGCUCAACCGUGGAGGGUCAUUGGAAACUGGGGGACUUGAGUACAGAAGAGAAGAGUGGAAUUCCACGUGUAGCGGUGAAAUGCGUAGAGAUGUGGAGGAACACCGGUGGCGAAGGCGACUCUUUGGUCUGUAACUGACGCUGAGGCGCGAAAGCGUGGGGAGCAAACAGG